rnacentral:lncRNA from 1 species
UUUUUUUUAAUUGAAAAUUCCAUGAAGUGGGUAUUUAUUUCUCUUUCUUUUCCCCAACAGAGCAAGACAAUCCCAGAGAGAUGAAUGAAGUGAAUGACCCAAGGUUACACAGGAUGGAACCUAUAUCUUCUGAUUUCUCUACUGGUGCCUGCACUCCACGUUCUGAGGAGGAGUCCUUGAAGCUACUGAGAUAAUGGAACAAUGGAGUAGAUAGUCCAUUAUAACUCAUCUGGGAUUCUUCUCAACUUCAAGUGACCACAG